rnacentral:rRNA from 1 species
CCCUAGUAACGGCGAGUGAAGCGGCAACAGCUCAAAUUUGAAAUCUGGCUCUUUCAGGGUCCGAGUUGUAAUUUGCAGAGGGCGCUUUGGCGUUGGCAGCGGUCCAAGUUCUUUGGAACAGGACGUCACAGAGGGUGAGAAUCCCGUACGUGGUCGCUAGCCUUCGCCGUGUAAAGCCCCUUCGACGAGUCGAGUUGUUUGGGAAUGCAGCUCUAAAUGGGAGGUAAAUUUCUUCUAAAGCUAAAUACUGGCCAGAGACCGAUAGCGCACAAGUAGAGUGAUCGAAAGAUGAAAAGCACUUUGGAAAGAGAGUCAAAUAGCACGUGAAAUUGUUGAAAGGGAAGCGCUUGCAGCCAGACUUGCCUGUAGUUGCUUAUCCGGACUUUUGUCCGGUGCACUCUUCUGCGGGCAGGCCAGCAUCAGUUUGGGCGGUUGGAUAAAGGUCUCUGUCAUGUACCUCCUUUCGGGGAGGCCUUAUAGGGGAGACGACAUGCAACCAGCCUGGACUGAGGUCCGCGCAUCUGCUAGGAUGCUGGCGUAAUGGCUGUAAGCGGCCCGUCUUGAAACACGGACCAAGGAGUCUAACAUCUAUGCGAGUGUUUGGGUGUCAAGCCCAGACGCGUAAUGAAAGUGAACGGAGGUGGGAACCUUUUAGGUGCACCAUCGACCGAUCCUGAUGUCUUCGGAAGGAUUUGAGUAAGAGCAUGGCUGUUGGGACCCGAAAGAUGGUGAACUAUGCUUGAAUAGGGUGAAGCCAGAGGAAACUCUGGUGGAGGCUCGCAGCGGUUCUGACGUGCAAAUCGAUCGUCAAAUUUGGGCAUAGGGGCGAAAGACUAAUCGA